AUAUUUUAAAGCAAAAAAUGCCUUCUUAAUAUCUUCAAUAUUAAACUUUAUAUAAGCUAUUAAAAUA
rnacentral:tRNA from 1 species